AUUGAACGCUGGCGGCAGGCCUAACACAUGCAAGUAGAACGAGUGGCGGACGGGUGAGUAAUGUCUGGGACACUGUCUGGUGGAGGGGGAAAACUACUGGAAACGGUAGCUAAUACCGCAUUCCCUCGGAUGUGCCCAGAUGGGAUUAGGUAGUGGGUGGGGUAACGGCGCACCUAGGCGACGAUCCCUCGCUGGUCUGAGAGGAUGACCAGCCACACUGGAACUGAGACACGGUCCAGACUCCUACGGGAGGCAGCAGUGGGGAAUAUUGCACAAUGGGCGCAAGCCUGAUGCAGCCAUGCCGCGUGUAUGAAGAAGGCCUUCGGGUUGUAAAGUACUUUCAGCGGGGAGGCGUUACCCGCAGAAGAAGCACCGGCUAACUCCGUGCCAGCCGCCGCGGUAAUAC
rnacentral:rRNA from 1 species